rnacentral:rRNA from 1 species
UACGAAGGGGGCUAGCGUUGCUCGGAAUUACUGGGCGUAAAGCGCACGUAGGCGGCUUUCUAAGUCGGGGGGUGAAAUCCUGGAGCUCAACUCCAGAACUGCCUCGAUACUGGAGAGCUCGAGUCCGGGAGAGGUGAGUGGAACUGCGAGUGUAGAGGUGAAAUUCGUAGAUAUUCGCAAGAACACCAGUGGCGAAGGCGGCUCGCUGGAACGGUACUGACGCUGAGGCGCGAAAGCGUGGGG